UUCCGUAGAGGUAAAAGUGCAGCAGA
rnacentral:piRNA from 1 species